AUCUCUUUCUUUCCUUUGUGUUUGCUGCCACGAAUGAACUGGCCCCACCGCAGGCUUUUCUACGACGAGUGGUCAUUCAUAGUAAAAAUUAAAUCUACUUAAGUUUUAUUUUGAAAUCAGGAUUGUAGGUUCAUGACUUCCAACCGACUCAAGAAUCUGCUGUUAAUUACCCCAUACGUUCAAUGUUAAGGAACCUUCGAUUAAAAGACUGAAUGUAAAUGCUGAUAAUAAAAGAGACCAAAGUAUGAAGAUAAAAUUUUAUUAAUAUGAUUUGCUAUGCACAUGGCUUAAGCAGGGGCACACCUCCACUGUAUAUGAAUUUUAUAAAACUAAAAUACUCAAUUUAUGGACUUGGCGGUCGAUCGGAAUCAGGUUGCUUGGUUUAAUGAUAUGACGGCCGAUUAAAAUAGGUUGAGAUUGAAUUUAAUUUUAAUUUGCUCAGUUUAACAACUUGGCGGUCAAAUUAAUUUUGAUAUGCUGCUUAGUUUAACGACUUAGCAGUCAAAAAGAGUUUGAUAUGAUUUGGUCAGUUUAACGACUAGGCAGUUAAAAGAGUUUGAUAUGAUUUGGUCAGUUUAACGACUUGACGGUAAAAAAGAGUUUAAUAUGAUUUAGUCAGUUUAACGACUUGGCGGUCAGCAAGAGUUUGAUAUGACUUGCUCAGUUUAACGACUUGACGGUCAGAAAGAGUUUGAUAUAAUUUGUUUAGUUUAACGACUUGGCAAUCAGAAAGAGUUUGAUAUGAUUUGCUCAGUUUAACGACUUAGCGGUCAAAGAAAGUUUGAUUUUAUUUGCUCAGUUUAACGAAUUAGCGAUCAAAUUGAUUUUGAUAUGAUUUGCUCAGUUUAGCGACUAGACUGAUUCAUGAAAUUAAUUCAUGAUAGAGGCCUAUUUGGAAAGCCCAUUAAAUUAGUUCAGGAAAUUAAUUCAUGAUAGGGUCCUAUUUUGAAAGCAGAUUAAAUUAGUUCAUAAAAUUAAUUUACGAUAGGGGCCCAUUUGGAAAGCCUAUGAAAUUGGUUCAUAAAAUUAAUUCAUGACAUUUGGAAAGCUCAUGAAAUUGGUUUAUGAAAUUAAUUCAUGAUAGAGAUCAAUUUGGAAAGCCAAUUUUGUUUCAUAAAAUUAAUUCAUGGUAGAUGCCUAUUUGGAAAGCUCAUGAAAUUAUUUGGCUAAAUUUGGUUUCGGUUGGAGGCAUUUUGGUGAUAUAGGUUUGGUAACUUUCGGUUUUAUGCGGCUAAAUUCUUGGACUUUAGUGGUUUUAGUUAUGAAAUAGAUUGGGUUGGGUUUUAUUUGUGAACUUUAGAUUUUAUGGGUUUUGGGUUUCAUCUGUGGACUUUGGGUUUUGGAUUUUAUUUGUGAAUUUUGAAUCCACGGGUUUUAUUUGUGGACUUUAGAUUUUAGAGUUUAUUUGUAGACUUUUGGGUUUUGAAUUUUAUUUGAAGACUUUGGGCUUUGGGUUUUAUUUGUAUGUGGAUUUUGGAUCUUAUUUGUAGAUUUUAGGUUUUGGAGUUUUAUUUGUGAAUUUUGGAUUUCAAGAGUUUUAUUUGUGAACUUUGAAUUUUGAAUUUUAUUUGUAUGCGUACUGAAUUUGAAACCCAUAUGUGGACUAGGCAUUUUGUACGGGCUAGAUUCAGGAUCUAAUUUUAGACUGGAUUAAAUUUGGCUUUUUUUAUUUUUUUCUUGGUGUACUGCAUAUGAGAUCUUGCUCAUUGAGCUCAUAAGUAAAUUGUCGAUUGAGCUCCUUUCAAUUAGAUAACUCCAAACUAUUCUCCCCACCCCCUUUUUUUUUUUUGAACUCGAUUCGAAUUAAUUUGAUUUGAUCCAAAAAUCAAUACCAAAUUUAUGAAUCAUCAGUUUUUUUUUUUUUGCAUGUCUAUCACGAGAAUGGCGAUUUGAUUAAAUAUAUGCCUAUCACGAGGAUGGCGGGUCGAAUCAUGUCUAUCACAAAGAUGACGAAUAAUUCAAACAAUCAAAAUGCGCUCAUCAUUUUUAUAUAUAUUUUAUUAUUAUUAUUAUUAUUAUUUAUCCAAAUGCGUGGAUUUGAUCGUAUCGAGUUUAUCAUGAAGAUGGUCGCUCGAUCAACUCUUUGACAGCGUCGAGCCUAUCGUGAAGAUGGCCGCUCGAUAUAGGGAUUAACGAUACAUAUGUGGGUUUGAUCGUGUUGAACCUAUCACGAAGGCAGUCACUCGAUCAACCUUUUUACCUUAUCGAGUCUAUCGCGAAGGUGACCGCUCGGUAUAUGGAUUAACGAUACAUACGCAAAUUUGAUUGUAUGGAGCCUAUCACGAAGAUGGCCGCUCGAUCAACUUUUGACCGUGUUGAGCCGUUCGCGAAAAUGACCGCUCGGUAUAAAAAUUAGCGAUGCAUGCACAUGGUGAAAAUAGCGAUUUAAUAUCGAAUUUGAUCUGUUUGAGCCUAUUGCGAAGAUAGACAUGUUGAUCCAACCGAAAAGAAAAAUUCAUUCUUAUACCAUUU
rnacentral:lncRNA from 1 species